rnacentral:tRNA from 1 species
GGGGGGAUGGCGUAAAUGGUAAACGCAAUCGUUUGGAAAACGAUCAGCUUGGAAGGCGACGGCCGUCGGCCGCUCUGCCCCCU